ACCAACACGAUGAAGAAGACCAGUACGACACACUCUUUGGUAAAGCGAGUCAUGUGGGGUGAAAGUGUGACCCAAAGACUGUCGGAAGACACUUCGGAGUGCUGACGUGAAUACCGAGUAGCGUUAGCCGGUUUGCCUCGUUAUCGGCCGUUGAGGCUCGCUAUCCUCCAAUGCGAGUAAAGUGCGGUGGCACCACGGAACCCCGACUCCGUCCGCAUA
rnacentral:ncRNA from 1 species